rnacentral:rRNA from 1 species
GGUUAAGCGACUAAGCGUACACGGUGGAUGCCCUGGCAGUCAGAGGCGAUGAAGGGCGUGCUAAUCUGCGAUAAGCGCCGGUAAGGUGAUAUGAACCGUUAUAACCGGCGAUACCCGAAUGGGGAAACCCAGUGUGAUUCGUCACACUAUCAUUAACUGAAUCCAUAGGUUAAUGAGGCGAACCGGGGGAACUGAAACAUCUAAGUACCCCGAGGAAAAGAAAUCAACCGAGAUUCCCCCAGUAGCGGCGAGCGAACGGGGAGGAGCCCAGAGCCUGAAUCAGCAUGUGUGUUAGUGGAAGCGUCUGGAAAGGCGCGCGAUACAGGGUGACAGCCCCGUACACAAAAGCGCAUGUGCUGUGAGCUCGAUGAGUAGGGCGGGACACGUGGUAUCCUGUCUGAAUAUGGGGGGACCAUCCUCCAAGGCUAAAUACUCCUGACUGACCGAUAGUGAACCAGUACCGUGAGGGAAAGGCGAAAAGAACCCCGGCGAGGGGAGUGAAAAAGAACCUGAAACCGUGUACGUACAAGCAGUGGGAGCCCCACCACUAAGCCAGUGGUGAACUCCACAUACGCAUCCUUUGCUGAGGAUACGGUUAACGGAGCGAAAGCGACGUUCAACCUCAAAAGAAGCAGAGGGGGCUUAGUGGUGGGGUGACUGCGUACCUUUUGUAUAAUGGGUCAGCGACUUAUAUUCUGUAGCAAGGUUAACCGAAUAGGGGAGCCGGAGGGAAACCGAGUCUUAAUUGGGCGUUAAGUUGCAGGGUAUAGACCCGAAACCCGGUGAUCUAGCCAUGGGCAGGUUGAAGGUUGGGUAACACUAACUGGAGGACCGAACCGACUAAUGUUGAAAAAUUAGCGGAUGACCUGUGGCUGGGGGUGAAAGGCCAAUCAAACCGGGAGAUAGCUGGUUCUCCCCGAAAGCUAUUUAGGUAGCGCCUCGUGAAUUCAUCUCCGGGGGUAGAGCACUGUUUCGGCUAGGGGGCCAUCCCGGCUUACCAACCCGAUGCAAACUGCGAAUACCGGAGAAUGUUAUCACGGGAGACACACGGCGGGUGCUAACGUCCGUCGUGAAGAGGGAAACAACCCAGACCGCCAGCUAAGGUCCCAAAGUCAUGGUUAAGUGGGAAACGAUGUGGGAAGGCCCAGACAGCCAGGAUGUUGGCUUAGAAGCAGCCAUCAUUUAAAGAAAGCGUAAUAGCUCACUGGUCGAGUCGGCCUGCGCGGAAGAUGUAACGGGGCUAAACCAUGCACCGAAGCUGCGGCAGCGACGCUUAUGCGUUGUUGGGUAGGGGAGCGUUCUGUAAGCCUGCGAAGGUGGCCUGUGAGGGUUGCUGGAGGUAUCAGAAGUGCGAAUGCUGACAUAAGUAACGAUAAAGCGGGUGAAAAGCCCGCUCGCCGGAAGACCAAGGGUUCCUGUCCAACGUUAAUCGGGGCAGGGUGAGUCGACCCCUAAGGCGAGGCCGAAAGGCGUAGUCGAUGGGAAACGGGUUAAUAUUCCCGUACUUGGUGUUACUGCGAAGGGGGGACGGAGAAGGCUAUGUUGGCCGGGCGACGGUUGUCCCGGUUUAAGCGUGUAGGUGUGUGUUCCAGGUAAAUCCGGUUCACUUUAACACUGAGGCGUGACGACGAGGCACUACGGUGCUGAAGCAACAAAUGCCCUGCUUCCAGGAAAAGCCUCUAAGCAUCAGGUAACAUCAAAUCGUACCCCAAACCGACACAGGUGGUCAGGUAGAGAAUACCAAGGCGCUUGAGAGAACUCGGGUGAAGGAACUAGGCAAAAUGGUGCCGUAACUUCGGGAGAAGGCACGCUGACACGUAGGUGAAGUGAUUUACUCACGGAGCUGAAGUCAGUCGAAGAUACCAGCUGGCUGCAACUGUUUAUUAAAAACACAGCACUGUGCAAACACGAAAGUGGACGUAUACGGUGUGACGCCUGCCCGGUGCCGGAAGGUUAAUUGAUGGGGUCAGCGCAAGCGAAGCUCCUGAUCGAAGCCCCGGUAAACGGCGGCCGUAACUAUAACGGUCCUAAGGUAGCGAAAUUCCUUGUCGGGUAAGUUCCGACCUGCACGAAUGGCGUAAUGAUGGCCAGGCUGUCUCCACCCGAGACUCAGUGAAAUUGAACUCGCUGUGAAGAUGCAGUGUACCCGCGGCAAGACGGAAAGACCCCGUGAACCUUUACUAUAGCUUGACACUGAACAUUGAGCCUUGAUGUGUAGGAUAGGUGGGAGGCUUUGAAGCGUGGACGCCAGUCUGCGUGGAGCCGACCUUGAAAUACCACCCUUUAAUGUUUGAUGUUCUAACGUGGACCCGUGAUCCGGGUUGCGGACAGUGUCUGGUGGGUAGUUUGACUGGGGCGGUCUCCUCCUAAAGAGUAACGGAGGAGCACGAAGGUUGGCUAAUCCUGGUCGGACAUCAGGAGGUUAGUGCAAUGGCAUAAGCCAGCUUGACUGCGAGCGUGACGGCGCGAGCAGGUGCGAAAGCAGGUCAUAGUGAUCCGGUGGUUCUGAAUGGAAGGGCCAUCGCUCAACGGAUAAAAGGUACUCCGGGGAUAACAGGCUGAUACCGCCCAAGAGUUCAUAUCGACGGCGGUGUUUGGCACCUCGAUGUCGGCUCAUCACAUCCUGGGGCUGAAGUAGGUCCCAAGGGUAUGGCUGUUCGCCAUUUAAAGUGGUACGCGAGCUGGGUUUAGAACGUCGUGAGACAGUUCGGUCCCUAUCUGCCGUGGGCGCUGGAGAACUGAGGGGGGCUGCUCCUAGUACGAGAGGACCGGAGUGGACGCAUCACUGGUGUUCGGGUUGUCAUGCCAAUGGCACUGCCCGGUAGCUAAAUGCGGAAGAGAUAAGUGCUGAAAGCAUCUAAGCACGAAACUUGCCCCGAGAUGAGUUCUCCCUGAGACUUUAGGUCUCCUGAAGGAACGUUGAAGACGACGACGUUGAUAGGCCGGGUGUGUAAGCGCAGCGAUGCGUUGAGCUAACCGGUACUAAUGAACCGUGAGGCUUAACCUU